AGUGGCGGACGGGUGAGUAACGCGUGAGGAACCUGCCUUUCAGUGGGGAAUAACAGUUGGAAACGACUGCUAAUACCGCAUAAUGUAUCGAGGCCGCAUGACCUUGAUACCAAAGAUUUAUCGCUGAAAGAUGGCCUCGCGUCCGAUUAGCUAGUUGGCGGGGUAACGGCCCACCAAGGCGACGAUCAGUAGCCGGACUGAGAGGUUGGCCGGCCACAUUGGGACAGAGACACGGCCCAGACUCCUACGGGAGGCAGCAGUGGGGAAUAUUGGGCAAUGGGCGCAAGCCUGACCCAGCAACGCCGCGUGAAGGAUGAAGGUUUUCGGAUUGUAAACUUCUUUUAAGAGGGACGAUAAUGACGGUACCUCUUGAAUAAGCCCCGGCUAACUACGUGCCAGCAGCCGCGGUAAUACGUAGGGGGCAAGCGUUAUCCGGAUUUACUGGGUGUAAAGGGCGUGUAGGCGGGAUUUCAAGUCAGAUGUGAAAACCGAAGGCUCAACCUUCGGCCUGCAUUUGAAACUGAAGUUCUUGAGUGCUGGAGAGGCUAACGGAAUUCCUAGUGUAGCGGUGAAAUGCGUAGAUAUUAGGAAGAACACCAGUGGCGAAGGCGGUUAGCUGGACAGUAACUGACGCUGAGGCGCGAAAGCGUGGGGAGCAAACAGGAUUAGAUACCCUGGUAGUCCACGCCGUAAACGAUGGAUACUAGGUGU
rnacentral:rRNA from 1 species